AAAUUACUUUACACAGAAACCUGCAAGUUCUUCUUGUUUUGACAGGUCACUCCAGCAACACAGAAGAAGGAAGAAUCUAAUUAUCAGGAACUCAUGCCUCAUAAUGAAGCAGUGUACCACAAUGUGCUGCCCGGCCCCCGACGAUGAGUGCGUUUUUGAACACCUUAAAGAAGAUCUCCAGCAAAACACAACUGUUCAUCGCUGCCGCCCCCACCUGAUGGCGCUCUGCACUCUCUUCUGAGACAGUCAUGCU